AUUGAACGCUGGCGGAAUGCUUUACACAUGCAAGUCGAACGGCAGCACGGACUUCGGUCUGGUGGCGAGUGGCGAACGGGUGAGUAAUGUAUCGGAACGUGCCCAGUCGUGGGGGAUAACGUAGUGAAAAUUACGCUAAUACCGCAUACGAUCUAUGGAUGAAAGCGGGGGAUCGCAAGACUUCGCGCGAUUGGAGCGGCCGAUAUCAGAUUAGGUAGUUGGGUGGGUAAAGGCCCACCAAGCAAACGAUCUGUAGCUGGUCUGAGAGGAGGGCCAGCCACACUGGAAAUGGGACACGGUCCAGACUCCGACGGGAGGCAGCAGUGGGGAAUUUUGGACAACGGGCGAAAGCCUGAUCCAGCCAUUCCGCGUGCAGGAUGAAGGCCCUCGGGUUGUAAACUGCUUUUGUACAGAACGAAAAGGUUUCUACUAAUACUAGGAGCUCAUGACGGUACUGUAAGAAUAAGCACCGGCUAACUACGUGCCAGCCGCCGCCGUAA
rnacentral:rRNA from 1 species